GCGCUGGUAGUCUAGCCUGGUCUAGGAUACGACCCUGCCACGGUCGCGACGCGGGUUCAAAUCCCGCCCAGCGCA
rnacentral:tRNA from 1 species